CCUCCCACUGGCCUUUAUUCUUUAAUGUCCAGCUUAGUCAUUGAAUAAUAAUAUGCUAAUCCCCCUCCUAGACGUUAAGAGCUCAUUUAUCUCCCCUUCCCAGCACCUAGCAUAGAACCUGGUAUCCAGGGGGAGGAGGAGAAGGGGCAGAGUUAAUGCUACAAACAGGUUUACCAAAGUCAACUGCAGCUCAGGGUGUCCAGGAGUGCCGACUUUGUGAGAAGAACAGAGACCAGAGAAACCUCAAGUUGAUGGGCUUCAAAAUAAUUAGGAUGAUAAAAUGACUAAGAAAACUCUGUCUAUACAUGAGAAUAGAUGACCUACAGCUUUGUGAAGAAAAUAUGUUCUAUAUAAAGCAAUCUAAACUUCUAGAAUGACCAUUAUACAAUUUAAUUUAUUCUUCUGGCCUGAAACAUUCUUGGACUUUGUUAUUAUGUUCAGCAGUAGGGGGUGGUGGAUCAAUCUCUCUCUCCAGGAACACUUAUUGAGUACCUACUGUGUUCCUGCACCAUGCUAAACACUUCAUAUAGAAGCUGCCCCGGAUCUGAGGAGGUGGGCACUAUGGUUCCUGUCAAUCUAUAGAAGAACACAUUGAGGCUCAGAGGCUGAAACCGUUCAACAAAUUUAAAAUGAAUAUGAUUUUAAGCCAAUUCCUUUUUUUUUCUUUAAGUGUAAAAAACAGGAAGUUUGAAAUAAUGAGCUAUCCGUACAUGGUAAAGAUAAAAUAAUAAAUGUAAAAAAAGUUUCUUGGAGAAGUUGCCCCUGAAGUAUUGAUAUUUUCAAGAAGUAAAUGCCUGAGCUAAAAGAGAAAAGCAGAAUAAAUAAAAAAUAAUAAAUAGAUCUCUAGGAACAUGAAGCACCAGGAAAAUUGAAUCACCAUUCACAUUUUCAGUGGAAAUUUCCCCAUUUUACAUGACCUUCAACAUUUAACCUUGCUUUAUUGGCAUUUUUUGCUUUUUGAAGCCAGAAGCAAUUGAUAAGCCGUGUCAGAGUGAAUAAAGAACACUGGUUUGAUUCUCAACAUAAAGAAUAAAAUGUUUCCAAAAUAACCAGCAAAACAAUUUGAAACUGUCCUUUGCUUUGGGAAAUAUUAGCAGACAUAUGGUCACAUGCGAAUCUUAACUUUUCUGAUAAUACACUGGACACGAUGGGGAGUCACCAAAUUCAGAAUGCAAAUUUGAUUUCUGAUUUCAGAAAGAAAAAAAAACAAUAAUUGCCCCUUCUAAUAUGUCUAAGAUGAAUGGAGAAAAUGUAUACAGAAGAAAUUUUUCUUUUAACUGAGUAAUUGCAGAGAGCUAAUGUUCCCUUUUCUCUAACCCCCAGCCCUAACCAGAUUCUCCAUCGUGCUCUUUUCUGAAUGUAUCCUGUGUAUGACUAUGUAUUUUUUCUUUGUUUAAAUUAUAGGAUUGCAAUAGGAUUCUUUGCAGUCAAAGCACUGAAGUGACAGCUGUUUAUCAUUAUCCUCAUCAAGGGAAUGUAAAAUAAAAAUAGUAAUUUGUCUCUGAUCUUUGAGGCAAAAAAGAAUGGUCUGCAAACAUUUAACCUUUUAUGUGCAGGUUCAUUGAUGCUGUUUACAAAAUGUGAAUAAUGUUGUAGAAACCAGAUUUCUUCUGAAAAAUACAAUGGACAGGCCUUGCGAUUUUUUUUUUUCUAAAUAGCUUUUGAGAAACCUAAUUCAAUUUCAGCAAUAAAAGCAACAUUGUAAAUGUGAAAUUGUUUAUAAGAAUUGCUGUGGCUUUCUUAUGAAAUUAUUUGCACACUAUUUAAGACUGCACUACUUUAACAGGUGAGGGAAUAAAAGUGUCAAAGGGGAAGCAACAUUCAAGCUCAGGGCUUGACUGAAAUGCCUGUUUUUUCACAUUUUUGGUUUUUGCCUUUUCCCUUUCCUGAGCCAGAAAAAAAUCUCUUAUUUAAUUAUGUCAUGAGCUUAUUGGAGGACCAUGGGAACCAUUUUAAAUAAGACUGGUGACUUCAACUCUUUAAAGGUGGGAUAAUGGAAAGUGAGCCAUCCUGGUGGUGAUGGGCGCAUAAAUGGUACAGACCAGUGGGCGUUUGCUGCCUCUGCUGCCACCAAUGGUGGGCAUUGGGCAACAACCUACAGGUCCACUCAAGAGAUUUUUCCAGAUAACUAACUCUUCUGUAGCCAUCCAUUAUCAUUAUACAAAAUUCUAAAACAGAGUGUAGCAAUAGAGCGUUUGGCUUUUUCUCAGUGGAUCCACUCACCAUUGUGAAAACACUGUGGCCAUGGAAACGCACUCAGGUUUCCCAGCUCCAUAUUAUGGAGGAUGUUUUCCCUGAAAACCUUUCCCUGCUCCCAAUCAUUCGUUUCUAAUUUGCUGAGGCCGGAGAGGUACACGGCCAAACCUGUAAGAACCGCGUGAGGACCUGGCCAGGACGCCUCUGCGGGUGGUCCAGGCUGCACUCUGGCAUCCUGUGCCCGGUAUUUCCCUGAUCAAUUCGACAAAUAUUUAUGUAGGGUCUGACGCCGACGGUGAACGCCACAAAGGAAGUCCAGAAACAUGGGCCUUGCUCUGAGCGUCUGCAGCAGGGAGGACGCAGGGACAGAUGAGUCGCAUAGUGUUGCAGUGGUCUGGAACUGAACCUGCAUCGUCUCUGAGUGAAAACUUCUAGACUCCUUCUUCCAGGCAAUUGUACCAAAUGUGUGUUUAUAAACAAAUGAAAAUGUGAAAAGAACCAAAACAGAUUGUGGAGGACAUCACUAGAUUUGCUUAAAAGCCGCUCAUUAGCUUGCAAAAGGAAGAUUUGAAGAUGGACCUUCUCUCCCCUGGGCUGUAAGAGCUGCACCUAAAGAUACUGAAGACGACAAGACAGACGUGUGCAAGGAGGGAAGGAUCUAGUGACAGAAACGGGACUAACCUACAAACACCACGAACAGAGGACGAAGGCUGGCCGUCUUGCUCCUGUGUUUACAGGUGUUUUUAAUUUGCUGUAUUGUCAUAUGCAACUGAACAGUCUUGAGGAGCUCAUAAUGCCAGUUAAAGUACCAUUUUGAGACUAAUCGUUGAGCAUUUUUUCUAAUAUAACAUAAAGAUGAACACUGUUGGUUACAGCUUUUUUUGGAAAUGGAAAAGCCCUGGAAGCACCUACUGGGUAAGUCCCUGCAGCGCACUGCCUGGGGAGUUCCCACUGCAGUUCACGGGCUAACAAAGCCCUGUGCAGGUGAUAUCGCUGCAUGCCCGGUGCAUGAGAAGAUCAGCAAAGAAACCUCCACCGUGGAGGUUUCUAAUAAGCGACUGUUUAUUGUCUAAUUAAAUAUUUAGCCUUCACUAUGAGAGCUGUUAAAAAGCACCUGCAGAAUUGUAGAUUUGUCUUAAAAUGAACAAAUCUAAAGAA